UACGUAGGGGGCAAGCGUUGUCCGGAUUUAUUGGGCGUAAAGAGUGUGUAGGCGGCCUGGAAGGUCAGCUGUGAAAACUCGAGGCUCAACCUCGAGACGUCGGUUGAAACCACCUGGCUAGAGUCCGGAAGAGGAGAGUGGAAUUCCCGGUGUAGCGGUGAAAUGCGCAGAUAUCGGGAAGAACACCCGUGGCGAAGGCGGCUCUCUGGGACGGUACUGACGCCGAGACGCGAAAGCGUGGGGAGCGAACAGG
rnacentral:rRNA from 1 species